AUAGGAGAAAAAGAAAGGAACGUGCGAAAUUUGGCGCCUGAUAGCGCCACGAUGGUGCAUUCUCAAGGAAAAUAAACCGUUCGCUGUCUGACUAUUUGAUUUAUGAGCGCGGGCGACAACCUACCGCACGGCAUACCGAAAUAGAUCAAGAGGAGAACCAUUGCAGUGCAUGCGCGAGGUAAAUCUGUCGCCGUAACAACCACUGCACCUUAUUUUCUAUAGAGCGUUUAUCAGACAUCAGUUUAUACAUCUUGUUUAGUAGUACGGUGUUUCACGAGAGUGAAAGAAAGAAACUGAUAAGAAAGAAAAGGAAAAUGAGAGUAUCAUUUUCAUACAUCUGUGGAAGUUAGUAAGGGAAGCAGGGAGAAUGUUGAAAAACGCGGUAAAAGUACUCAACAUGUGACGAACAGACCGUGAAGGAAGGCAAGGUAAAUCACCUUAUAUAUUAAUAUGCAUGCACAUACAUUGCGUGGGCGCUGACCAUUAAGGUGUUGUUACGACAUCAGAUGCAGAGUACACACGUUUGUAAAUACCACUUUACAUGGAACACAUUUGGACGCGUGUAUGUUACACGAUCUGUUCCGUAUUUGGAAUAUCAGCAUUAGAGUGAAUCUUCAUAUUUAUACUGAACAUACGUCACAAAUCAGUAUAUCUAAUCAUAAUCAUAAUCUCGGAGAAAGUUAACUGGUUUAUUUGAAGAACGCAUCCUUUUAAGACCCCUUUUAGUGUUUGUAUACUUCUUCACCACAACGAGCCGGAAAUGGAUCUUUAUAUCUAACUAGAC